rnacentral:rRNA from 1 species
CUACGGGCUGCACCAGUGGGGAAUAUUGGACAAUGGGCGCAGGCCUGAUCCAGCAAUGCCGCGUGAGUGAAGACGGCCUUAGGGUUGUAAAACUCUUUCGCUAGGGAAGAUAAUGACUGUACCUAGUAAAGAAGUCCCGGCUAACUCCGUGCCAGCAGCCGCGGUAAUACGGAGGGGACUAGCGUUGUUCGGAAUUACUGGGCGUAAAGAGUUCGUAGGCGGACUGACAAGUUAGAGGUGAAAUCCCAGGGCUCAACCCUGGAACUGCCUUUAAAACUGUCAGUCUAGAGACCGGAAGAGGUUAGGGGAAUACCUAGUGUAGAGGUGAAGUUCGUAGAUAUUAGGUGGAACACCAGUGGCGAAGGCGCCUAACUGGUCCGGUACUGACGCUGAGGAACGAAAGCGUGGGGAGCAAACAGGAUUAGAUACCCGGGUAGUC